GAGCGGGCGGGGCGGGGCCGCGCUGCUACGUAAGCAGCCGCGAGAGGGGAUCCUGGGUGCAGGCCCCGCCCCCUCACGUGCCCUGGGCGCAGGGCCUCGUGCUGCCCGCGUGACCUGCAGGCGCGGCGCUGCCACCGCCUCUGCUUCUGCUUGGCUUCCACGCGUGGGAGGGAGCCCGUGGCGACGGGGGCGGCUGGCUUGUGGAGGCUGCGGGAAAGUCUUCCUCGGCGGCCGCGUCCCUGUCCCAGGCCUUGGUACCCUGGCCGUUCUCCGCCCGGGACUUGGGGGUGCUGAGUGGGCAUGCGGGUGUGCAGAGUAAGGGGGUUCUUCCCCAAGGGAUGAGGCGGUUCAAAUUUAAACCUAAGUUUGGGAGGGAGGUGCGGAAGAGCUUUUGAAAUUGAAGGGUGGAGUCCCCACAGCGGUCCGUUCAGCCUCCAUUACUGUGCCUGUGACCUUUGGGUCAGGAGCCCUGUUUUACUGCAACCUGGGCCCAGCUCAGCACCCAGCUAAGGGCAUGAGCAAGAAUCCAGCGUCCUUCAUGGUUCCUUGGUGGGUGCCUUACUGAUUCCCUCAGCCUCCCAUUUCCCCUUCUAGAAAUGGCAGGCAGAGCAUUUGGAAAGCAGCAGUGAGAGAUGGAGACCACCGGACAGGCCAAGCACCAAAUUGGGUGUCCCCAGCAACAGAAUAGGAAACCCAUUAUCUGUGCCUUUGCAAUGUGUCCUUAAGUGACUCAUUUGCCUGCAAGGUGUCAGGUGCUGAGGUAGUCCACAAAGCCUGUUGCUGUCUGCAAACUUGUGUCUCUACUAGUUGUUAUUUCCAAUAGCUGGCAAAAUCGAAACCGCCUUUGCAAAAAUUAUAACAAAAUUAUUACAGUGAAGGGCAUCUGACCUAACUGACUCUAUCUUGCUUGUAACCUCCAAGCUGUCCCUUGUUCAUUCCUGGGCGUAGGCUGAACUAACUUUGGGAGGAACUUACAGUUUCACUUUGAAACAAAGAUGGUAACAGCCCUUUCACAAUACAAACCCCCGUCUUGCCUGGGGAACAGACUGCCUUUGUAGUAUUAACAAAUUAGCCAUAGGAUUAGAGAUUAUGGUUUAGGAGUCAUGUAGCUGGAGGCCACAAGAUUCUAAGCCUCCCCAGUUGCUCCUAGGGAUAGCAUCACUAUUGGAAAACCUGAGAUUGGUGCUGAAGAUAUUUUUCAGACCCUGCAGUUGAUGGAUCAGCUGGCGUCACCCAGAUUGAGAAACUGGCUGGCUGGUCCUGUGGCCCCUACCCAGGAAUCUGCUUAGCGCAAGAGGACCACUUGGAGGCUCUGUGAUUUUGUCUCUGACCAAACCAAUCAGCACUCCCCACUCCCUGGCCCUCUACCCAUCAAAUUAUCCUUUAAAAACACUAGUCUGGAAUUUUCAGAGAGACUGAUUUGAGUAAUAAUAAAACUCUCUUCUCCCGAUCAGCCAGCUCUGCGUGAAUUAUUGCAAUUCCUCCGUUGAUAAAUCUGUUCUAUCUGGGAAGUGGGUAAAAUGAACCUAUUGGGCGGUUACCAAGUCGAGGUGGAGGGCUGCCUGGGACAAGCACUCCAGAGUAGAAUCCCCUAAAGUAAACCCUCUCCAUGAAAAGCC
rnacentral:lncRNA from 10 species